rnacentral:rRNA from 1 species
UACGUAGGGUGCAAGCGUUAAUCGGAAUUACUGGGCGUAAAGCGUGCGCAGGCGGCUUUGCAAGACAGAUGUGAAAUCCCCGGGCUUAACCUGGGAACUGCAUUUGUGACUGCAUGGCUGGAGUGCGGCAGGAGGGGAUGGAAUUCCGCGUGUAGCAGUGAAAUGCGUAGAUAUGCGGAGGAACACCGAUGGCGAAGGCAGCCCCCUGGGAUAACACUGACGCUCAUGCACGAAAGCGUGGGGAGCAAACAGG